ensembl:snoRNA
GCGUGAAUGAUGAUCUCCUUUCUUUUGUCGGAUACCCCUUCACUCUCCAAUGAGUGAGAGCCUCCCUCUGACACGC